UGAUAAUAAUUUUAGGUCUUACCUGCCCACUGAAUUUUUAAAUGGCCGCGGUAUUUUGACCGUGCAAAGGUAGCAUAAUCAUUAGUUUUUUAAUUGAAAGCUGGAAUGAAAGGUUUGAUGAAAAAAUGGCUGUCUUUAUUAAAAAAUUAAAAUUUUAUUUUUAAGUUAAAAAGCUUAAAUUUUUUUAAAAGACGAGAAGACCCUAUAGAGUUUAAUAAUUUAUUUUAAUAUUAUAAAAUUUUAGUUUAUUUUUUUUUAUUAAAAAAGUUAUUGUAUUGGGGUGAUAGAAUAAUUUAAUAAACUUAUUUUUAUUUAAUUCAUUUAUAUAUGUUUAAUUGAUCCAUAGAUUAUGAUUAUAAGAUAAAAUUACCUUAGGGAUAACAGCGUAAUUUUUUUUAAGAGUUCAAAUCGAAAAAAGAGAUUGCGACCUCGAUGUUGGAUUAAAAUUAAUUUUUGGUAGUAGAAGCUAGGAAUUUAGGUCUGUUCGACCUUUAAAAUUUUACA
rnacentral:rRNA from 1 species